rnacentral:lncRNA from 1 species
CAUAACCCUGGUGCCCACCCGUGGAAAUGUUACUGACUUGGACUGAUUCCACAUCUCUAGGGUUACUAUGGGAUGCUGCAUGAAUAUAUCAAGUAAAGAUGAAAACAGCAUAAUGAACACACCUGCAACCUUAAAGAUACAGUGUGACCAGCUGCCUCAUUCUCCUGCCGCCAUGCCUUCCCCAUCAUGAUGGUCUGUGCUGUCAAUCAAACAUGAGGUAGAAGAAGCCCCUCCCUUCCCAAAGUUACUUCUGACAUGCAUUUUUUUCACAGCCACGUGAAAAACGUAAUCAUUAAAUAAAAACCUAUUAACC